rnacentral:rRNA from 1 species
CCUACGGGUGGCAGCAGUGAGGGAUAUUGGUCAAUGGGGGAAACCCUGAACCAGCAACGCCGCGUGAGGGAAGACGGUUUUCGGAUUGUAAACCUCUGUCCUCAGUGAAGAUAAUGACGGUAGCAGAGUAAGAAGCCCCGGCUAACUACGUGCCAGCAGCCGCGGUAAUACGUAGGGGGCAAGCGUUGUCCGGAUUUACUGGGUGUAAAGGGAGCGUAGGCGGCCGUGCAAGUCAGAAGUGAAAUGCAUGGGCUUAACCCGUGGACUGCUUUUGAAACUGGCAAACUGGAGUGUGUGAGAGGAUAGUGGAAUUCCAGGUGUAGGAGUGAAAUGCGUAGAUAUCAGGAGGAACAUCAGUGGCGAAGGCGACUAUCUGGAAGAUAACUGACGCUGAGGAGCGAAAGCGUGGGUAGCAAACAGGAUUAGAUACCCUUGUAGUC